UACGAAGGGGCUAGCGUUGUUCGGAAUUACUGGGCGUAAAGCGCACGUAGGCGGACUACUAAGUCAGGGGUGAAAUCCCGGGGCUCAACCCCGGAACUGCCUUUGAUACUGGGUAGUCUCGAGUCCGGAAGAGGUGAGUGGAAUUCCGAGUGUAGGAGGUGAAAUUCGGUAGAUAUUCGGAGGAACACCAGUGGCGAAGGCGGCUCACUGGUCCGGUACUGACGCUGAGGUGCGAAAGCGUGGGAGCAACAGG
rnacentral:rRNA from 1 species